rnacentral:lncRNA from 1 species
UGUCAGUCUUAGGAUCUCUGUUUUAAUGUUAAUGCUGGUCACUUGUACCUGAACUUCCUAAGAGAGAGGGUAUAGUGAGGUAUGUCUGACCCCCACCCCACCCCACUUCCUGUCAUGACCUGAACUAGUUUUUCAGGUUUCUUUCGAAUCUCCUUUGUUGAGAGGGGAUGCAUUCAGUCACUUGGGGGACUUUUAUUUUAUUUUUGGUUUACAAAAGUGAGGGAUAUCUGAGUCUAGAGCAGACUGAAGAGGAGGGGAAGUACAGUCCCCAGAUAAAGGCCUUCAGAUGUCAUCUCUCACUAGCAUGCAGGCCACAGCCCAGAGGGACAUGACACAGCAUUUUUAUUAGGCUUAAUGUUCCAGGCCAGGCACGGUGGCUCAUGCCUGUAAUCCCAGCACUUCAGGAAGCCGAGGAUACCAAGGAGAAGACUGAGCAUCACCCAAAGGCUUGGCAUACUCUCUGGGUUGUAUGCAGGAAGGCUGUGUCACCUUAGGUGCAGAACAAGCAAUUCUGAACAUUCUGCAAGCCAGCGGCAGAUGUGUAGAGGGCACACUGCUGAUUCUGUAAAUAGAAUCUUGAAAUGUGACAAAAUACAGGAUUUAUAAAUGGCAAUGGUUUGCCUGGGAGACUUCAGCAUUUCCAAGGGCUUCCCAGUGACAACUUUUGCACAUGUCCGUCCCUCUCCCAGGAAGACUCUGCACCCUGCUCUGCCGUCCCUGCUAGGCUAAUGCCCUGUCAACCUUGAAGUCUUACCUUAAGGGAACAUCUGCACCUUGCCCAUUUCUAGGUGAUUCAAGAAAGCUUUUUGGUGUUUAUUCUGUCUAAAGUGAAAUAAUUAAUAUUAUUGUGAAUGGUGUUGCAAUUAUAAAUUCAGAUAAAAAGUUCUAUAUAUAUAUAUUUUUAAAAACAAAUAUUUCUUGGUUAUUCAAAUCAUCCUAAAAUAAAUGUUUUCCUUAUUAUAUUAAAAAAAACCUCUGGAGCAGAAAUGCACUUGAAUUGGUUGUUAUAAUGAUACAAUUCAUUCUGUGUCCAAACCAGCUACACAAUUCUACCAAUAAAAAUAAAACCUGCAGUUGAUAUAAAUAUGUUACACACACACAUUUAUUGUAGUUCAACUCCACAACUACCAAAUGCAUAAUGAAACUUACGUUGUCAUAUAGAUGAAUAGAUAGAUAGAUAGAUAGAUAGAUAAUGACUUAUCUAUUCAUGUAUAGGUGUCUGCAAUGGCAUUGGACAGUAUUUAAUGAGAGUCCUCCAAAAUUUAGUUUCAUACUAUUUAAAUUCUAUGGGAAAACUGUAGUAACAUUAUUAAAUAACUAAAAGCCCAUAUACUUUCAGCUUUAGAAAGGUGUAAUUAUUGAAAACAAAUUCUAAAAAGAGGAAGCACUAAAAUUUGCCUGAAAUAAGAAAGCAGCAGAAGGCCAGGCGCCGUGGCUCACCCCUGUAAUCUCAGCACUUUGGGAGGCCGAGGAGAGUGGAUCACUUGAGUCCAGGAGUUCCCUACAAAAAAAAAUUAAAAAAAAAAUUUGGCAUGGUGAUGUGUGCCUGUAGUCCCAGUUACUUGUGAGGCUGAGGUGGGAGGAUCACCUGAGCCUAGAAGGUCAAGGCUGCAGUGAGCCAUGAUCACAGUGCUGCACCCCAGCCUGGGUGACAGAGCAAAACCCUGUCUCAAAAAAAAAAAAAAAAAAGAAAAAAAAAGGCACUGGAGGAACUGAGCAAAUUAAAUCAAAUUAUAUAGCACAAGUGAUAGACAAGCAUUACUUUUUUUUAAAGAAGACUUUGGAAUCUGUAGGAAAAAUCUUCUGAUAGAAUGCUCAUAAUCAUUUGUGUUUUGUGGCUAAAUAUAAUUAAUUUGAGAGGUCUAUAAUUUUACAAAAUCUAAAAAUUUGCUGAAUCAGCCAACUGAAAAACAAAUAGAUAACAUUUCUGGUAAAGUUUAUUGUGAAAUAGGAGUAUAUGUGAAAAAUAGGUUUUCUGGAAGGGGAUAACCAAAUAUAUCUGUAAAAACAUUUGGGCUGAAAUAUUUAGACAUUUCAAUAAGAAAAGCAUUUGAAUUGACAAUGUCCUCCAUUUAGUAGCUUUUAUUUCCUGAGCUCAUGAGUUGUCUCAGCCUUCAUAAAGAAAACACUUUUCCUGUGGGCUAAAGAGUUUUCUUCAUCCAUAAAAUAAACUAAUAUCUGGGCAUGGUGGUAUGCACCUAUAGUCCCAGCUACCUAGAAGGCUGAGGCAAGAAGAUCACUUGGGCCCAGAAGUUCCAGUCCAGCCUGGGCAAUGUAGUAAGACCCUGUCUCUAAUAAAAAUAUUUUUUAAAAUCCUAAAAAAAGAAAUAAAUUAUCAUUAAUCACUAUUAGCUCACUUAUUUCUCUAAGUAGUUCUAUUUUUGUUAAAAGUAACAAUCAUUUGUCUUUAUGAUACGAAGACAUAACCAGAAGAAUGAGAAUAUUUAUAUUUUAGCUUUUCCUGCCUUUGACAUCUAAAGGAAUUUAGAUUUGUUUUUGAAAUCAUCCCAAAUGUACAUAUGUUAACAAGCUGAUAGUCUUUUUGGAUAUCACUUUACCAGUACUUCUAAUGUAGCUUCAUUUAAAAUGCACUAAGAUGGAAUCAUGUUUUCUCCAUUCACCCUGCGACCCAGCACUGUUGCUACUUACCACAUUCUGUCCUGACCAUCUCCUGAUGCCUACUAUCAAGCACAUGGAAUCUAUUUCCUGUCGAAACCUCUGCAGUGUAAAAUGUCAUAAUCUUCCUUCUACAAUUAACUUCAUAAGAAGAGCAAGCACUACGGCAGAUGUUACAACAUUUUGUUUUUCUUUGAAUUGUCAUGUGAUAUAUUACACAGUCAUACCUUACUCUGUGCAAGAAUUUGGAUCCUGGAACCAAGUAAUAAUUUAAAUUUAGAAAUCUAAUAAAUAUUUUAACUUCAUAGCACUGUUUAAAGUUAUACACCCAUGAAUAUUUUAGAACUAAAAUGAAGACUUCUUCAUUUAUAUGAUUAAAAAUUGUACUGUUACUGUACACAGUUGCUUCAACUUAUAUGAUUGAAAAUUGUACUGUUACUGUACACUAUUGUCAAAACUUCCUUUUGCUUUUAAUAAAAAGCAAUUUCACCUCACAGGUUUACCUUUCUUUAGCACUUUCAUUGAAAUAACUGAAAUAUGUGUGUAAGCGUGUGUGUGUGUGU